rnacentral:lncRNA from 1 species
UGUAGGGAGCGUUGUAAUUUGAUUCCUGCCUUUUGCUUGUUGAGGUGACGACACACUCUCCUGGAGCUCAUCCAGCAACAAAUCUGCAAGAAAAACCAAAUAAUUCACAGUCCACACCUAGAUUUUGGUCCCAUUCGGAGAUUGGAUACUGUGUCUCGUACAGUUGUAUUUCCUCCGCAUCUCCAUUAAGGUUCCAUGACUGUUGAUGACUGGUGGUACUCAUCGACGUUGAAUUCGGUCCGCUGCUGGUUACUUUGUUGCAGACAGCUGGGGAUAGGUGUUCCUUUUGCAGGUGUGCUACUGGUACUGGUUGUAAUUUUCGUCAUGUACAGAAACAAUUCUUAAGCAGGAUGUCGAAGAUCUUUCCUUUCUCCACGUGGUUGCUGACGUGUCAUGAAGAUGUGUUUUUGGGAGGGUCUCUACUAUAUUGCAAGACAAAAGUGUGAUGAAAACAGGAAAUCUGAAAUGGUGUCCAUCUUUCUUAAUAGCCCACAUUUCUACUUGACAGCUCUACCAAUGUGCUUAACAGCAUAAGAAGUUAAUCAAUGAUGCCAAGCUUCUAAGGACUUACAAACGAAAAUGUUUCUCAUUUCACAGUAAUGGUGAUCCCAAAGAAUAUGACCAUUGAAGAUUUAGUUCUCUAUGCAGAGACAAAACGAUAGUUGGCUGAAAACAAUUGGAUGUACAUGGCUAAUUUUAUCGUCAUAUAAAUAGGGUGGUGGACAUGUUACAAAAUUUUUCCACAAGAAUGCAGAAAACUUAUCAAAUCAAUUACUAGAUGACCUUUUUAUAUCUUCCUUUUUACUCCUAUCAUUUGGGUUUAAAUAGUGACGAACUGACAGGUGGAUGGUGGCAGCAUAUUUGAUACAGGGAUCCACUCUUUCUUAUAGGCUAAAGCAUCUGACAGAAGUUAUCCAAAAUAGGCAACUUGUGUGUAUUACGUUUCAGAUGGUUUCGAUUCCGACUAGUCCGGUGCAUCAGUGGGCCCUCUUCCGACAAACCCAGAUUAGUUUCAUUAUCAAUCAUGUUUUCGAAUUUUUUUUAGAAAAUGGCUAAUUGGUUUUUCUUUUGUGAACAUAUGUUGGUGGUGGACCGUAAAUUCCAGAAUCGGAUGAGAUUUCUGGCGAUGACAAUAGAACAGGAUGCAUAUUCGGAAGUCAUGGGCUGUCUGAUGGGCCCGCAACACGUCCAGCAGCCACAUUGAGACUCGGAAACGUUUGUCGGUUCUUCGUUGCCGACGUCGGCCGUCUUGACUGAGUUACAUCACGCUACCUGGACAAUUCCCGACUCUUCACUCGCUUCGACGACAACAAAGAAUUUUUUCCGGUUCCAAAGUUUAUGGUGUUCCGUCGGUGGACCACACAUUUUGAGUCAUCGUUAUUAUGAUGCAUUUGCCUAUAAUAGUGAAGCAGGAGCGAUAACUGGGAGCAGCUGCCGGAUGAUUCUGGAACCACGAACUUACUCUUCCGUUUGGUGUUCCGAUUCGCCAGUUAUUUGUUUGGUCGUUUGCAUCGCAACCGACUGAAACAUCACCGCAAUGAACCGAAACUAUGAGAUGCUAUUUUGUUGCCGGGAGUAAUCAAAGAUAUCCUAUCAGUGCUGGAUCGUGGAUAGAAUCAUUCGUUCGGCUGAAGAAUAUCUCGAUUCUUUCGAAUGACCUGGCCCAACAAUUCACAGAUAUCGCCGGGAUCAACUCGCUUAUUCAAUCCCGCCAUAUUGGGAUCCAGCAAAGAAAACUUUUACUCCUCAGCUGAAUGUUGUCCACCAUUCAACAACGGAUGCCACUGCUUCUAGUCAAUCUGCUGGACCGUGUUCCGGCAUGAAAGAUUCAUUUCAGAUUGUUUGAAAUUGCCAUGAACUUGUUUGUUUUUUGUUUGUUUUCUGCAAUUCGUCUUGUUGUGGAGCGUCUAGACUAGCAUAUCUGAGUAAGGGUCUAACAGUUUGCGUAUUGGCCCAGUCGAAGGUACUGGAGGAAGUCUGAUUGGUGGCGAUCGUGUGCCCGUUUUAGUGAUGGUUAGUUAGAGAACGCUGCCGUAAUUGUUGUCACAGAAGGAGUGAUUUAUGUCUCCGGCUCUUUUAGUUAAAUUUCGUGUCAGAAACAAAAAGGUUUUCCAUUCAGGGUUCCCCAUCUCUCAUACCGGUCUGUUACAGCAGUAGUCAACGGCGUACAAAGAAUUUUUUAUAUCAAGGUUUUUUUUCUCAUUUAAAUGCUGCAGUGCAUUAAUGUUAGUAUUUGUUUUUGUAAGAGUUGACUGGGGAAGUAUUGGGUUUGUACAUGCAUGGUGUUAUUUAUCAUAAGAAUACAAGAACAGACAUGGGAAACAUUGGGAGGUAAUAGAGGGGGGACAUGUGGAAGGAGUAGGAAAUGAACCUGGGGCCUUUCUUAUCAUCACUAGGGGCCGUAACCAUGACAGAGGUCCAUCAUCCAAUUUGAUAAAUCUCGAGAAUUUAAUCCGAUCCUUUAAAGGGCUGGCUAAGAAUGCUGUGGAAUUUUUCAAUUUAGGCAACACAGUAGGUAGCUAUUGGUUAUAGCUCAAAAUUGUCACGAGUUACGUGUUUGAAUCUUGUAGGACAAUGGAAGAAUAAGAGGGUAGGAAGUAGAAGUGCAGAGAAAUCAGAAAUCUUUGGAAUAGUCCAGUAAAAUGCGAAUGUAUAAGAAAAGAAACGUGGUAAGUUGCAAUUUUAUUUUUCAACGGGAUAUUUACAUCCAUCAGGAUGAUUCCAUUCAUAGUUGAAAUGUUUGGUUAGUAAUGUAACUAUAAUUGCGUAUUAUAGAGACGUUACAUAGUGUUUAAGGAUUGAUCCACCGUAGUGUUGGUAGUUUUAAAUGGUACACGCGAAUCUUUCAGUCUUCAUUCUGCAGUGUUGUGUUAGCAAUGGAGGAGUAGGGUUGUCGAAUUUGUGUUCUGGUCAUCCGUGUGGACAAUCGGUUUGACUGAGUGUGUGCUUGUCAAGGUUGUUUUAACUCUUACUUUUAUACGGCAGUAUAAAACUAAAUCAAUAAAUGUGUAAUUGAAAAUAACUUGUGCCUAGUUUGU